rnacentral:tRNA from 1 species
UAAUAUCUGGUGUUUAAGGCACAUUUCAUUUUGAUUGAAAGGGGAGUAGUUCGAGUCUACUGUUAUUAA